UACAGAGGGUGCAAGCGUUGUUCGGAAUUAUUGGGCGUAAAGGGCGCGUAGGCGGCUUUGCAAGUCGAGUGUGAAAUCCCCAGGCUCAACCUGGGAACUGCAUUCGAGACUGCAUAGCUAGAGUAUGGGAGAGGGAAGUGGAAUUUCAGGUGUAGCGGUGAAAUGCGUAGAUAUCUGAAGGAACAUCAGUGGCGAAAGCGACUUCCUGGACCAAUACUGACGCUCAUGUGCGAAAGCGUGGGGAGCAAACAGG
rnacentral:rRNA from 1 species